UACAGAGGGUGCGAGCGUUAAUCGGAAUUACUGGGCGUAAAGCGUGCGUAGACGGUAAUGUAAGUCGGGUGUGAAAGCCCCGGGCUCAACCUGGGAAUUGCGAUGGAGACUGCAAGGCUAGAAUCUGGCAGAGGGGGGUAGAAUUCCACGUGUAGCAGUGAAAUGCGUAGAGAUGUGGAGGAACACCGAUGGCGAAGGCAGCCCCCUGGGUCAAGAUUGACGCUCAUGCACGAAAGCGUGGGGAGCAAACAGG
rnacentral:rRNA from 1 species